ACGUUCAGCGUAUUAGACAGCUCGUUGGACUUCUAAUCCAAAGUUCGUGGGUUCGAAUCCUACCUGAAUGGG